rnacentral:lncRNA from 1 species
AGACCCUAAUUUUUGUCCCUAAGAUCCCUCAUGGCAUCAUAACAUUGCAUUGCAUAGCCUCAAGGAUCAUUGAGCAUCUUGGUCCCUUGCCUUUGGGGUGGGACUCCUUGUGAGUGGUUUGAGAUCACCAAGCAUGUUUGAAUUGUAUAUCAUUGCUUUUCUCAUUUUGAUUACUAACCAAAAGCACAAAAAUAUGUCACUAACAUCUUUUGUUUGUAGCUUGAGCAAUCACAAGAUUAAA